AUUCGUGAUGAAAUCCCAUCAGGUUAAUGACAGACCUGGUAUAAACUUGGGAGGACCUACACAAAUGGAAUCAAAUCUUUGUUUGCCUCCUUGGCCAGAACUUCUGAUGCGGAAUGAGAAGAAUAUGAAGGUUGUAGAGCUGAUACUAAACAUAUGCAUUACCGACAUACACUUGCAUUUGCACAGAGAAGGAAAUACUGGAUCAUCGACAAUAGGUCUCGACAGAUGAUUUAAGAAUGGAUUACGUAAGUUUACAAUUGAUUUCCUUUUAAUUUGAUUUUGAACCAUUUUGUAUUGAAUAAUAUAAUGGUGUAAUUGACUUGCUUGCCAAAAUACUUUGAUGGUUUGCUGCUAAUAAUUAUACCGAUAAGAUUUAAAUUUUAAUGUUUAUGAUUGAAUUGAUGAACUGCGUCUUUGACUUUAGUUAUAAUAGAUAUAAUUACUAAAUUUGAUGAACUACGUACUUUGUAUAUAUAAGAGCGUUAUACCUCUUUGCUCUUGAAUCUUAAAGUGCACAUUUGAUGAGAUUGUGAGAAAACUAGCAUUUAACAAUUGUUUGACAAAAAGUUCCACCAUCAUUUGAAGAAAAAAGAAAUGUUUAGAUCGUCACAUAAUUUAUCAGAACGCCACUCACGAGUUGUUUUACAAUAGAAGAGUUGUUCCAAUACGUGUUCCCUUAUUUCUUCAUACUUCUCCUUUGUAGAUAUGUACAACCAUUUGAAACAUUUAGCACAUUGCACAGUGAAUGCACCUACAGUUGGCAAAACCCUAGAUUUAUAAUUUGGUAAGGAGUUUCUUCGAGCAUGGAGAGGUUUAACGUCAGUAGCAACAGCAACGACAUCAGGAUCAUAAAGCACCAACUCAAAAGGAGUUUCUUCAAGCACAGAUAGGUUUCCUUUUGAGUUGGUGCUUUAUGAUCCUGCUUCUGUUGCUACUACUGACGUUAAACCUCUCCGUGCUCGAAGAAACUCCUUCCCAAAUUAUACAUCUAGGGCUUUGCCAUCUGUACGAACAUUCGAUGUGCAGUGUGCUAAAUGUUUCAAAUGGCGGUACAUAUCUACAAGGGAGAAGUAUGAAGAAAUAAGGGAACACAUAUUGGAACAACCCUUCUAUUUGGAAACAACUCGUGAGUGGCGUUUUGAUAAAUCAUGUGACGAUCUUAAUAUUUCCUUUGUCUUCAAAUGAAGGUAGAAUUGUUUGUCAAACAAUUGUUAAAUGCUAGUUUUCUCACAAUCUCAUCAAAUGUGCACUUUAAGAUAAAAGAGCAAAGAAGAAUUACACUCUUAUAAAUACAAAGUAUGUAGUUCAGUAAAUUCAGUAAUUAUAUCCCUUAUAAAGUCAAGGACGUAGUUCAUCAAUUCAAUUAUAAAUAGGAAAAUUUCAAUCUUACCCAUAUAAUUAUUAGCAAAAAAACAAUCAAAAGACUGUUG